rnacentral:rRNA from 2 species
GGUUAAGCGACUAAGCGUACACGGUGGAUGCCCUGGCAGUCAGAGGCGAUGAAGGACGUGCUAAUCUGCGAUAAGCGUCGGUAAGGUGAUAUGAACCGUUAUAACCGGCGAUUUCCGAAUGGGGAAACCCAGUGUGAUUCGUCACACUAUCAUUAACUGAAUCCAUAGGUUAAUGAGGCGAACCGGGGG